UUUUUUGUAUUUUUUGUUUGUCAAAUGACAUUAUUAUUAAAAAACAAACAGUAAACGCGCUAAGAGCUAAAUAAUACAAGAUGUUUCAACGAAAAAUACUUAAAGAAGAUGUUCUACAUAUCCACCUUCCAUUUGUACACAAGCUUCACAUCGUCGCAGAAAGGAAGCUCUUAUUCUUUCGAAUAUCCCUGGAAUUUGGAGUAGCCUGGCAGACAUCUUCUAUUCGGUGCCGUAAGUCGUCAACGUUAUUAAUGGGUCUUGAAUACACUAGCGAUUUUAAAUAUCCCCAAAUGCAAAAGUCCAAUGAAUGAAAAUCAGGGGAUCUGAGUGGCCAUGGCACUGGACCCCCUCGUCCUAUCCAGUUAUUAUUGGGGACAUCUUCCAAUAGUGGAGGUAGAGUGUUAUUUAAGAAGUCAAGAUAAACUGCACCAGUUAAACAAUUUGAAAAAAAACACUGGUCCAAUUAAACGGUCCCUCAAAAUACCCACCCAAACGUUCAAAGAAAAUCGAUGUUGAUGUCUGGACUCGACAACGGCAUGAGGGUUUUCAUCAGCCCAAAUAUGAUUGUUGUGGAAAUUAAUGAUCCUGUUGUUUGUAAAAAUAGCUUCAUCUGUAAAUAAAAUAUUAGCAGCAAAGUCUGGAUUUUCUUUAACUUUUCUUAGUACGAAUCUACAGAACGCUACUCUGGAAUCAUAAUCGGGGGCUAUAAGAGCUUGCACCCGCUGAAUAUGAAAAGGAUACAGCUGCUGUGCACGUAAAAUCCUCCAGACUAAGGAAGCAUUCAUAUUUAGUUCCGUAGCUAUUAUUCUGGUGUUGAUAUUCGGAUUUUCUUCUACUCUUCUUAAAACUUCAAGUUCUGCUUCAAGAGCAGACACUGACCUGGGGGUCUAUUUAUUACGUAUCUUUUCACGGAGUGAAAAUGUGAAAAAUGAGCAAAUUUACUAGAAUAUUUAUAAUUUGAUUGGUCAACAUCUAGUGAAUUUUCUCACUUUUCGCAUUUUCACUCCGUGAUGAGAUACGUAAUAGACCCCCUGGGCCGUCCGGCAUCAUGUUUACUUACGCUAAAUGAACCAUUUUCGACUAAACGUAAAUGCAAUUUGGAAAAUAACUUAUCAGAUGGAAGUGCACGAUUCGGAAAUGCUUCAGCACACAGACGCCGUGCUUCAUAAGCGUUACCAUUGGCACGGCCGUACAUGAAAUGCAUAUCUGCCAUUUCUGCAUUGGUAUAGAGCGGCAUUUUCUUUUAUUUGCAAAUACUUUUAAAUGAAAACAGUAGGAAACUGAUACAGCACUAUAGCGAGAUUAAUUAUACUUACAGGAAAUAAAGGGAAACAAAAAGCAACGACUUAAAUUUUAUUUUAUUUUUUCAUGAAAAACACGAUGGCGCGGCCGUUCAUUCAUGACGUAAAGUGCGUGGAAUCGAAAUCAAUGACACGAUUAGAUACAACUGAUAAAUGACUCCUGCACACACUGGACUGCACAAGACGUUCCUAUACUCCGUCCAGCGAGAGAACGUUAUCCGGCUGCGCAUAGGCGAGCGAAGUGGGGAUAGCGUGGCGUAGUGGUGGCGUGUAUAAUAGCAUUAACGCGCUUGUAUCACGGCGUAGUGGGGGGUCUCUAGAGAGGAGAUCUGCGCGGAACGGUCGCGUUUUCGUCUGCUCCGAUAACGUUCUGUAAUCAUCAA